rnacentral:lncRNA from 1 species
AUUUUCUUUAGGUACAUCCAUAUGCAGAACUCCAUAUCUGUGGAUGAAAAUUGGGGCGGUACCCACAAGUGCAAGGUUUGUUAAAUUUUAUUCUCUAUUUUUUCUCUUAUUUUUUUUAGUGUGGAUUGAUCAAUUUUUUGUUGAAAUUAAUAUUAAAUGUGCUAUAGUAUUAAAAGUCAUACAUGAAGUAGAAGUUACCAUCUGUAUGCUUUUCCUGCAUAAAAUACACUUUUUUACAUCCCACAUCAUAUUCACACAUUAACAAACUGGCUGUUAUAGGCUAGAAAUAUAUUCUGGGGAGACAUUUUUCAGUCCAUUGUAGCUACAUGCAUAUUGCUGGGGAAAUAGAUUAUUUCUCUUGAAUAUUUGAAGAUAUUUCAGCUUAGAAAUAUAUAAAACAACCAAAGUAUGGCUUUCUUUACAUAUUUUCUGUAGUCUGUUACAUGAACAUGUAGAUAACCCAGAACCAUCUUUAAAUUCCCGUUUUAGAUUUGUUUAAUUGAUCAGAAUACAUGUACAUUUGUAGUAUAAUUUGAUCCUACAUAGUAUUUAAAAGCACAGGUUUAAUAUCUUAUAAUCACAUGCUUAAGAAAAAUGGCAUAUAAUAAAUUAAUUUAUUUUGUAGCAUUUGUGAAGAGUGACCGCCCAAAUCAGUUCCCUGGUUUAACAAUCCGUUAUAUCAGAGGAGCAGAUCCCAUGAUAAAACUUCUAGAUGAGAGUAAAAAUGUUGUGGAGACGCUAGGUAUUGAAAAAUGGGACACAGAUACUGUAGAAGCUUUUUUUAAAGAAAGAUUAAAGGAUUAAAAUGUUAACAUGAUGUGUAUUAAGGGUUGAAUGUGUGGCUGUAUGAGAGAUGGUACAAAAAAUUAUAAUAGUUCAUGUUUUUUCUGUUAUUGUAUUGUUCAUUCCAAAUAUGUAAAAAAAUCAUUUGUAUCUUUCAGUAUUUGUCUUCAUUAUCACAUUUGGAAAAAUAUUAAUUUAGAAUGCCUUAUUUGCUAAAAUUAUGUAAAAAAUUAAAAAGUUAUAUUAGUUUAAAAUUAUUGAAAUUUCAUAAUCCUAUAUAGUUCUUUAUUUGUCUAUAGAGAUUUUGUCAAAUAGAUAAAUAUACUAUAUUUUUACUUAAAUAUACACCACAGAAUUUCGUGUAAACUUACUCUAAAUCAGAAAAUUUUUCAAUAUCAGCAUUUUUAAAAUUUUUGUCCGAAAUUGGUCAAUAAUCAUAAGGUUCUAAGAGUUUAUUUUGGAUGUAUACUCCUUAAGCAGUUCAGGUGUUUAAAUAUAGAAUAGCAACAGCCAAAAGAAAAAUGAUUGUUAUUAUUUUUGAGUAAAAGAUGAAUGAUAUAGAUUCUUCAUUUGGAUAUUUGUUCUAUAUAAUUAUUGCUAAUUUAUUAGUUACGCAGUGAAGUCAUCAUUUCUUUAAAUCAUUAGAAGUGCCUUCACAAUUUCAUGGUAUUGGUAUUGGAUAAAUCUUUUGUAUUUUUAUGUGUUAUGUUAACCUCUAGUAUGAAGGUCUGACAAUAAAACCUUGUGGUAUGUUUGACCGGAGGGUAUAGAAGGAAUUAAGCAAUACAAGAAAAUAUGAAAUGUUUGUCUUAUGUCUAAUACUUAAGGCCAAUGUAUAAAAUCUAAUAAAGCUAUUUUGAUAAAAAGGUUUUAUGUUUUAACCUUUAUUCAUAUUGUAUGCCAGCUGCUAUUUUUUCCUGCAAUUAUGUCAUUGUCAAAAAUUUAAAGGGGAAAGUGGAAGGCCAUAAAAGCCCCAGAGGUACAUGAAAGCUGAAAUUAGAUACCCAGAAUGAUACUAACCAAGAUAAUUUAAAGACAGGACAUUGGAUCAGAAAGAAAUAAGACCAUUUUGCUUGACUGUUUCAUUAUGUGCAUUACAUAUUACAGUGAUUGUCAAAAUCGUUGUACCGGAACUGGGCAUGGAAUAAUGUCUGUUUUGUAAAGCAAGUGUCUUGGUCCUUGCAUUUACAUUAAAUUCACAAUCUUCUACUAAAAAAAUUAUUUAAAAC